rnacentral:lncRNA from 1 species
AUUUUAAUUAGGAGCCUGUAAAAUUUUUCAUUCAUCAUUUUUGCAAUUUUGAAUAAAUAUCUUUUACCUUUUCCUUUAUUUGCCUUACACCUUUACUUUGAAGUACGUUAGUGUAACCGAAAUUUUUCUUGGUCAGUACCAUAUUCCUUUUUUCCUUUUCUAAAGGUGUCUGAUUUUUGGCAAGUCGAUCUCGUUGAAAUGUCGAUGUUGCCUAAAAAUGUCGAUCCCACCUUUUUUUCCGAGAAAGUCGAUGACUGCUGAUCCUUUUCUAAAGGUGUCGACUUUUUGACAAGGCGAUCUCAUUUCUCCCUGGAAAUGUCGAUGUUGUAAAAAAUGUCGAUCCCACCUUUUUUCUGAGGAUGUCGAAGACUGCUGAUCCUUUUCUAAAGGUGUCGAAUUUUUGACAAGUCGAUCUCAUUUCUCCCUGGAAAUGUCGAAGUUGUAAAAAAUGUCGAUCCCACCUUUUUUCUGAGGAUGUCGAAGACUGCUGAUCCUUUUCUAAAGGUGUCGAAUUUUU